rnacentral:rRNA from 1 species
GAUGAACGCUAGCUAUAGGCUUAACACAUGCAAGUCGAGGGGAAACGGCAGGAGAUGCUUGCAUCUUAUGGACGUCGACCGGCGUACGGGUGAGUAACACGUGGGAAACCUACCCUUCAGCGGGGGAUAACCAUCGGAAACGAUGACUAAUACCGCAUAGACGACAGAACCGCCUGGUUCAAUCGGGAAAGACGGCUUCGGCUGUCACUGAAGGAUGGUCCCGCGCUGCAUUAGCUAGUUGGUAAGGUAACGGCUUACCAAGGCUAUGAUGCAUAGCCGACCUGAGAGGGUGAUCGGCCACAUUGGGACUGAGACACGGCCCAA